rnacentral:rRNA from 1 species
UGCCAGCCGCCGCGGUAAUACAGAGGGUGCAAACGUUGUUCGGAAUCACUGGGCAUAAAGCGUGCGUAGGCGGCCUAGUAAGUGUGGAGUGAAAUCCCACGGCUCACCCGUGGAACUGCUUCGCAUACUGCUGGGCUAGAGGACGGUAGGGGAGAGCAGAACUCCUGGUGGAGCGGUGAAAUGCGUAGAUAUCAUUAGGAACACCGGUGGCGAAAGCGGCUCACUGGGUCUUUUCUGACGCUGAGGUACGAAAGCCAGGGUAGCGAACGGGAUUAGAUA